rnacentral:rRNA from 1 species
GAGUUUGAUCCUGGCUCAGAACGAACGCUGGCGGCAGGCCUAACACAUGCAAGUCGAGCGCUCCGCAAGGGGAGCGGCAGACGGGUGAGUAACGCGUGGGAACCUUCCCAGUGGUACGGAAUAGCUCAGGGAAACUUGGGGUAAUACCGUAUAAGCCCUUCGGGGGAAAGAUUUAUCGCCAUUGGAUGGGCCCGCGUCGGAUUAGCUAGUUGGUGAGGUAACGGCUCACCAAGGCGACGAUCCGUAGCUGGUCUGAGAGGAUGAUCAGCCACACUGGGACUGAGACACGGCCCAGACUCCUACGGGAGGCAGCAGUGGGGAAUAUUGGACAAUGGGCGCAAGCCUGAUCCAGCCAUGCCGCGUGAGUGACGAAGGCCUUAGGGUUGUAAAGCUCUUUUGGCGGGAAGAUAAUGACGGUACCCGCAGAAUAAGCUCCGGCUAACUUCGUGCCAGCAGCCGCCGCUGUAAC